rnacentral:lncRNA from 1 species
GAUUUACGAAAGAUCAACGCCUGAAAACUAACAGUAUACAGGGACUCAGAGAAGACUCACAGAAAACUCACAUAAAUUGGAUACUCACUGAAGAUCUCAAAGAAGCUGGUUGCACCACAAAUAUUUCGCUACAUUCUUUGACAUUUACUUGUUAUUUGGUGUAAAAGAACUUUCUCUUUAUCGGUGUAAAAGAAUAAAAAAAAGUAGAAGAAAAAAAAGAACCCCCACUACAUCA